GUCGAGGGGCAGCRKWUSUAGCUUGCUASWAGAYGKCGACCGGCGGACGGGUGCGUAACGCGUAUACAAUCUGCCUCAUACAGGAGAAUAGCCCAGAGAAAUUUGGAUUAAUGCUCCAUAGUCUUUCUCUCUCGCAUGGGAGAGUUUGUAAAGCUUCGGYGGUAUGAGAUGAGUAUGCGUCCUAUUAGCUAGUUGGUGAGGUAACUGCUCACCAAGGCGACGAUAGGUAGGGGUUCUGAGAGGAUGAUCCCCCACACUGGUACUGAGACACGGACCAGACUCCUACGGGAGGCAGCAGUGAGGAAUAUUGGUCAAUGGGCGCAAGCCUGAACCAGCCAUCCCGCGUGAAGGAYGACGGCUCUACGAGUUGUAAACUUCUUUUAUAUACCAAGAAAAGUAGUCACGUGUGAUUAUCUGACGGUAGUAUAUGAAUAAGCACCGGCUAACUCCGUGCCAGCAGCCGCGGUAAUACGGAGGGUGCAAGCGUUAUCCGGAUUUAUUGGGUUUAAAGGGUUCGUAGGCGGUAAYAUAAGUCAGUGGUGAAAKCCUGCAGCUCAACUGUAGAACUGCCAUUGAWACUGURUUACUUGAGUAUACUUGAGGUAGGCGGAAUAUGUAGUGUAGCGGUGAAAUGCUUAGAUAUUACAUAGAACACCGAUUGCGAAGGCAGCUUACUAAGGUAUAACUGACGCUGAUGAACGAAAGCGUGGGGAGCGAACAGGAUUAGAUACCCUGGUAGUCCACGCCGUAAACGAUGAUUACUCGCUGUAGGCGAUACACAGUCUGUGGCUAAGCGAAAGUUUUAAGUAAUCCACCUGGGGAGUACGAUCGCANGAUUGAAACUCAA
rnacentral:rRNA from 1 species